rnacentral:ncRNA from 2 species
GGACAGAACUCCGGAGAGAGUCGAAAGACCGCCGAAGGGGCAAGGGGUGACCCGAAUCUCUCAGGCAAAAGGACGGAGCCGGUGAU